GACAACUCUCAACAACGGAUAUCUUGGCUCCCGUAACGAUGAAGAACGCAGCGAAAUGCGAUACGUAGUGUGAAUUGCAGAAUUCCGUGAACCAUCGAAUCUUUGAACGCAAAUUGCGCUCGAGGCUUCGGCCAAGAGCAUGUCUGCCUCAGCGUCGG
rnacentral:rRNA from 1 species